rnacentral:sRNA from 1 species
ACCUGCAUGCAGUUAACUCUUCCGCCGUUGCUUGUGAUGGAAGUAAUGUCGUUGUUAGCCUUGCGGGUGGCUGGGAAGGCAGCGGAGGACUUAAGUCCGUUGAAAGGAGCGACCAUAGUGGCCUGAGCCGGAGAGGCAACCAUAGUAGCGGAAGAGAGCAUAGAGGAAGCCAUUGUUCUUCUUUACUCUUUGUGUGACUGA